AGCCUCCUACUCUCCCGGGUUCCGCUGGUCGGGCCAGGAGAGGAUGGGUGACCAGGAGGCCCAGGAGAUGCUUGUAUAUAAUUGGGUGGGAUAUUCUGAGCUCUAGCUCAGGAGUCCCACUCUUCCUGGAUGGGGAAAGGAUGUGGGAUGAGGGCAGAGGGAGGUCUCUCUCUCUCCUGCCUCUUGUGAAUUAACUUGCCUCUCCUCAGCCUUCCCCUCCAGACCACCAGCCUGGGAGGGGAGAGGAAGGAGGUCACAGCCCAGAAAACUGGCCUGUGGCAGCUUCCCUCCUUUCCAUCAAUGUGAGCCAUCUUGAGAUGUCUGUACAAUAGAAACCAAACCAAAUGGGCACCCUGGGUUGCCCAGGGGCAGGGGAUGGGAGGGGGGUGGGAAGAAGGGAUGUCUGUCUGUCAGUCCCCUCCCCCUCUCCACUCCUUACCCACAAAGGCAAAAGACUGUUACACUAGGGGCUCCACAGAUCCAAUCCCACCCUUGCUGAGUGAGCCUUUCCUAGAAACAAGCGCAAAAGUGAGCGAGCAGCAAAACAAAGCAAUGGGGGAGUGAGAUGGGCGACCAACAGAGGAGAGGAAACAAAAAU
rnacentral:lncRNA from 1 species